GUAGAAUUUUAGUCAAAAUUAUAAUUAUGUAAACAAAAACAAAUCUAUGAUAGAAAGAUUUCUGGGUGGAGAAUUUCUAGAACAAUAAGUAUUGUCAACACCAUGAACAUUAUUUGAAGAAUUAUAAAACUUCAUGGUUGAUAACAACACAACCUUUGAAGGUUUGCAAACUAUUACGAGUCUUAUAAGUAGUGUUGAUAUAGUUCAGUUAGUGAGAGCCUACUGAAUAUACAAAUUAAAUACUAUGAUUGUAAAGUACUGAUACAAUUAUCACUAAGUGGUAUUAAUGGUAUAGGAAUGUAAUUCAUGAAUACAAAUGACCUAAAGAUUUUAAGGUUGCUAGAAACCAUAUGAUUC